UCGGUUUAUUUGAAUUUCUUAAGACGUUAGUGAAUGCUGACAUGGCAUGAUACCAGUGUAGCUAGUAAAAAUACCCAAAAAUCUAACCACCAAAUCCCUAAAAAUGAAAAAAACCCUAAAAAAUUCCUAAGAUGUCAGUUGCGAAUCUGUGUUUGUGCAUAUAACCCCUAAGAAGACCUUUAAAAUACUAUUGAAACCAAUAUUUACUGCUAUUGUAAGGAUAAAUCGAGGGUUCAAUAAUAGAAAGAAGGGAACUGAGACAGCCAACUGCUACAACCAAUACAAAUGGAAGUGUAUUCAACCCACCAGUUCAAAAUUUUGGAUCCCAAGCUUCCACAACUACCUUUGUGGGUACUCCUACACAUCUAUCUGUUGCACCAUGUGUUGGACCACUAAGAAAUGAAGCAACAACAGCAAGCUUAGGUGGAAGAUGUGUAAGAAAAACUAGAAAUAAGAAUGUUGGAUAAGGGGUUCAUGUUGAUUUGACUACUGGAAGAACAAUAUAUAAUGUGAGUUUUUUUAAUGUUGUUGUUUUGUUUACCUUCUUUUUUUGACUUCUUUAUGUAUGUGAGAGUUGAUGUU